GUGUGUGUGUGUGUUUAAAGAAAAGUGAUGGGGGGAGCUUGAACUGCCCCUCUCCAUCAUAUGGAUGAUCUCGAAACACGUCGGACUAAUGUGCAAGCUGUAUCUAGUUGGAGAGAAAAGCCCGCACCCUCUUGAUUUAGGAUUUUGCCCUUUUCCGGGGGGGGGGGGCGAUACCAAGGUUUGACUUCAGACUUCUAACAGCACCCUUUCUCUCUAACACUCCCCCCCCCGACUGGGUUGCAGGGAAAAUAAUAGUGACACCCCCGUUUCUCUUUCCCUCCCUCCUCUCUCGCUCUCUCUCUCUCUGUGUGUGUGUGUGUGUACACGCUCGCGCGCGAUUUGUUUGUGGCAUUAAUCACCCAGACUGCAAGAGUAUGAGAUGCAAAAAAGAAAGAAAGAAAGGCUUUUUGUUGUUGUUGUUUAAAAAACCUUCCUUCUUAUUAUUCUGAAUUAAUUCCAACCUAUGCAACUGCAAAAGAAUAUCAGAGAGACAAGAGGCGUACAGACUUGAUUGCAGCGUCUGGCUUUUCUUAGCAGUCUGUAUUUUUUUUUUUUUUUAGAGAGAGAGAGAGAGGGAGAAAAAAGAAAGAAAGCCAAUUGAAGGGCAUCUACCUUUUUUCCCGUUGAGAGACAAAAAGAAAAGCUAGGAAAGCGGGGCCGGGGGGGGGAUCCCUUCUUUCCCCUUAGAGCGGAGUCUUUUUCUGGUUGUAUUGAACGGCCUCCGUUAAAGCGGCGUAAGGGAAGGGGGGGGGGAAUCUAGCAGGAUCGGGUCCCGCGUUCCCAUGGGAGAGCGGAAGGGUCUGGAGGGGCGAGUGGGAGGAAGGCUCUCCAGGGACCCUCUGGGAGCGGAGCCUAGGCAGUCGGAGCGGAUAGGAGCCAGGAGACUUUGGCAGGAGAAGAGCGCCUAGUGGUUAGUGGGCCCGGGCAGUACUAACGAGGAGCAUAAAGGGGUGCGGUGGGAAAGAGAGCCAAGGCUCCUGGGUCUUCUAGGAGGAGCGCGGGGCUGAGAGCAGGAGGGAGCCCAAAGCAGGAGGGAGCCACUCGAUCCUUCAGGAAGGGAGUGGAUCGCGGUGGUUCAAGUGAGGCAAGGAACCAGACAUCUUCAGAUUUCCACUGGGGGCUGGAGGACUGGAGCAACAGAGCCCCACCCCCCAAAAGGAUUCUCCCACAAAGGGGAGGGGCGCUGGAGAACCUGGGGUGGGUGGUCGACAGUGUGUGAACAUUGCAGGGUUGUGCCCAUUCCCCGAACACACACACACACACACACACACACACACACACGUCCGUCUGGGUCCUAGACGCCAGCGAUGCCACGCGCCCUCUGAAAUUGGGUUUGGAGGUGUGAGAAGAGCCAGAGUCAGGCCCCCGCUUGGGUCUGCCAGAGGAUCUCGCUGGGUGUGAGCUGCAGGACAAAAGGAAGCCCAGCCUGGCCUGCCUGGAUCAGAAGCUAGCUGAGGUGAGAGCGGGGUUGAAAAGCCUGGUGGAGCUGGGGAGGGAAAGGAGACUUUUCCCCAGCGCGGUUUGGUCAAUGAAUGAUCAUGGAGGGACCACACCUCUCAUCACCAGCAGCAGGAAAGCCAGCAGAGGGAAUCUUAAGAUGGCAGUUUGCAAGACCAGGGACGUGUGAAUGGAGGGGUCCCAAGCCAGACCAUGCCAAGGAAGGGGCUGUCUGAAGACGAUUAGGAGGUGUUCAGGUUCCCCACCGGGUGGCAGGCUGGCUCUUACAGAGGUAACUCUCCCUCCCAAAGUGGGGCGGGGAGGGGGGCGUUGAUAGGAGGCUUGCCUAAACUGGCCUCUUAAUAAGGGUUUUGACAGGUAGGAUGGGAGUUAAAGAGGAUUUUAUUUGUGAGCGGGUGGAAAGGCUGGGAUGUUGAGACAGAGAGUGAUUUAUCUACCAUUCAUUAAAAGAAAGGAAAAAUCUGCCAUUUGAACGCCAGGCUGAAGCACAGCAGAAUCCUUUCUGAGUCUGUACUCUGCCCAAAAUGAGUUGGGAAUGGAUGUAUCCGAGAUCUAGCAGCAGAGGUGGGAGAGAACCCAGGCAUCCUGGUUGGCUCAGGCCCCUCCCCCUCCCAAAAUGACAGAGGGGGCUGGUUUCCUAAUUCCAACCCUGGAUGCAGAGGACUGGGUUCCCCUCGCCUUCCCCGUUCUCAACCCAGAAGCCGCCUCCUACGCCACCCCAAGAGUCCAGAUAAGGAGCACACUUCCUUCCCCAUCCUUCCUUGGCUCCAUGUGCCUGAGGAAGAUGACAUCUCUUAGCCUGCCACAUCUGCCUUCCUCCCCAGCAUGCAUGUGUACACGUGCACACAUGCACAGCAGUGGCUCCAUGCUUCCCAUGCACUCGUGGGCCCAAGGGGGAGGUAGGUGGCUUUGCUGGGUGCCAGUCAGUCACUGACUGAAUAGUGGACUGGGAACUGGGAAGGGCACAGAGGUAAGAGAGAGGAACAGAAGGGGGGUGUUGAUGACCAGGCCCCUGAACUCCUUCAUGCAGAAUCCCCUUCCAGCACCUUCUGCUUUUUCCAAAGAAUUCACAAGGUCGUUCCUCACAUGCCCUCCUAGUGCUCAAAUUACUGGGCGGAGUGGGGGGCGGGUGGGUGAGAGGUAUACUCUUUGUGAUGCCUCUCUUUAAAAGGCAUGGUUUGGCUAAAAUGGGAGGAGUCAGGAGGUGGGGCUUGUCCAUUUUAUUAAGGCCCUCUACCCUUACCCUCAUAGUUCAAGCACGGUGCCCUCUCUCCCGCGUAUGUUGGCAUCUGGGCAACUCUUUUCAUACGUAAGGUCUCAUGCCAGCCCAUGGGAACAGCCAUCUAACAGAAAUAGCAGGAAGGUGUGAGUGUGAAAAGGAAUUGAAGGGAAAGAAAAGAGGGGGCCAGGGAAUUUAGGGAGUUGCCUGGCGAAAGGCCACAGAUCCCUUCUUUUUAAGAGGAGGCUUGCGAUUCAGCAUGCAAAGCACUUGCACCACCUAUGAUCCCUCAACAAGGCAGAGGGGCAGAGGCUUGGCUGGAGAACGUGGGCCACAUUCUCAUGACCACUUGCAUGCCAAGCAAAGGGUGAGGCAGUAGGCGAAGAAGGUAAUGUCCACAGGGUGAUGUUUAAUAGAGAGGAGCACGACAAGAGGUGCUGUAACACAGGAAGAAAGGUGGGAACCAUUAUAGGACCUUUGGCGCUUGAGUAAAGAAAUACUGUCUUGUUUGUGUGUGUGUUCCAUUCAGUAUUCCCUUUUCUCUGUCCGGCUGCCUCCUGCUAUGUUCAGGACACCCUUCUCUAAAAAGCUCUCCUCACACUUCAUGCGCAGUCCUUGAAAUGCCUAUGGAACUCAUUGUCACCGGACAAUGCAAAUACGUAGGGAUUCAAAGUGGGUUUUUGUUUUUGAAAGGAAGGGAAUCCUUAGCGAAUAAUGGAGAAUGGGGUAAAACUGAUAGCAGCCAGCAAAGAUGGGUGCAGGAACCAGCCUCUUGCGGAAGACGACUGUGAAGCUGAAUGCAAGGCAGAGGAUAACAUCACUUUGUAAUUACUACUGUGGUUUCCUCAGGAAACAAUGUUUUCCGUGUGGGGAGGUGGGGGCGGAAUCCCUAAGGUGAUGCUGGCUUUUCCGAAAGGAUGUGCGAGCUCCGGCUUUUCUCAUCCUUCUCUCAGCCCAGUUUCUGUUGCAGGUGGGUGUUUUGCUACAGCCUGCAGGCUAGCUGGACCACUUUCCAUCUUUUGUGCAAUCUUGGGGGCAGUCUGUGGCUGCCGGUCACAAAGAUGUUUCUGCCCGCUUUUUCCCUAGGAUUGGAAAUGGGGCCACACAGUGGGCUCCGCAGCUGUGGGGGCUGAAGCGCUAUUUUCCUUGCCGGAUUCUGGAGACUAGAUUAAGAUGGAUCAUUGGUAUGGCCCAGCCUGAUGGUGACUAUGACCUUUGAGUGUGUGCAUCUUUGUCUAUGAGUAUCUGCGCUUGGGACCCCACAUCGUUGGGUGUGUAGUAUCUGAGCGUGUGCUUCUUUUCAUGUGUCUAUGUGGGCUUUUCACACCUGGAGUCUGGCCGUUCACAUGUGAGAUUGCUAGCAUUUUACAAAGCAGGUGUGUCCUUGGCUGUAUCAGUGGCUGUUUCUGCCUUUCCGAUUGUGCAUGUGUGUCAAUGAUCCUCUUUGCUGCUGUUUCAGGUGCAUCAAAGGCUGCCUCUCUUUCCUGAUCACUGUACUGGGGUGUGUGUGUUAAAUCUCACCUGCUGUGUGAACCUGUAUCAGAGGCUGCCUCUCCCUUUUGUGCACAUGGCUUGUUCUCUCCUCUCUGACUGUGCGUGUGGAUCAGUGGCUGCCUCUGCCCUCUGACUGUCUGCUUUGCCGAUUGCCUCCUCUCUUGAUUGUGUGUUGCUUGGGUGACUCUUCUGGCAUGGGUAUAGCUCGGUAUCAAUAACUGUCUCUCUUCAGGUUGUGUGCGCGCGUGGCUGUUUUAGUGCAUCAAAGCAAAUCCCCCCUUUCCUGACUGCCAGCAUUAUUUAGCAUGCAGGGGUUGGCCACAGUUCAACCUCAACGCCCCCC
rnacentral:lncRNA from 1 species